rnacentral:rRNA from 1 species
CCUACGGGUGGCUGCAGUCGAGGAUCUUCGGCAAUGGGGGCAACCCUGACCGAGCGACGCCGCGUGCGCGAUGAAGGCCUUCGGGUUGUAAAGCGCGAAAGUGGGGAGAAAACCGAAAGGUUGAUCGAUCCACAGUAAGCACGGGCUAAGUUCGUGCCAGCAGCCGCGGUAAGACGAACCGUGCGAACGUUGUUCGGAAUCACUGGGCUUAAAGGGCGCGUAGGCGGGCUGUCAAGUCUGGGGUGAAAUGCCACGGCUCAACCGUGGAACUGCCUUAGAUACUGACGGCCUUGAGGGAGGUAGGGGCGUGCGGAACUGUGAGUGGAGCGGUGAAAUGCGUUGAUAUUCACAGGAACUCCGGUGGCGAAGGCGGCGCGCUGGACCUCUUCUGACGCUGAUGCGCGAAAGCUAGGGGAGCAAACGGGAUUAGAUACCCUUGU